rnacentral:misc_RNA from 1 species
AAGUUCUCAAUCUCAGGAUUGGACUGUUGGGAUUUGCAGGCUUUAAUUAAAGGUCUGCUCUCCUGAAAUGAAUCAGUGGCGUCUGAGCAUGAGGGGGACCACUACAGGUUGUAUUUUAUGCCUCCUGUGAGGUCUCUGUUGCCCAAGCUGCUUCAAACUUGAAUUAUCAAUGACGA